rnacentral:rRNA from 1 species
UACAGAGGGUGCGAGCGUUGUCCGGAAUCACUGGGCGUAAAGGGCGCGUAGGUGGUGGCUUAAGCGUGCGGUGAAAGCUCGGGGCUCAACUCCGAGUCGGCCGUGCGAACUGGGCUCACUGGAGCAUAGUAGAGGCACGUGGAAUUCCGGGUGUAGCGGUGGAAUGCGUAGAGAUCCGGAAGAACACCGGUGGCGAAGGCGGCCUGCUGGGCUAUGGCUGACACUGAGGCGCGACAGCGUGGGGAGCAAACAGG